rnacentral:rRNA from 1 species
UACGGGGGGGGCAAGCGUUGUUCGGAAUUACUGGGCGUAAAGGGCUCGUAGGCGGCCAACUAAGUCAGACGUGAAAUCCCUCGGCUUAACCGGGGAACUGCGUCUGAUGCUGGAUGGCUUGAAUCCGGGAGAGGGAUGCGGAAUUCCAGGUGUAGCGGUGAAAUGCGUAGAUAUCUGGAGGAACACCGGUGGCGAAGGCGGCAUCCUGGACCGGCAUUGACGCUGAGGAGCGAAAGCCAGGGGAGCAAACGGG